rnacentral:rRNA from 1 species
CACGCCGUAAACGAUGAGCGCUAGGUGUUGGGGGUAUUGACCCCCCCAGUACCGCAGCUAACGCGUUAAGCGCUCCGCCUGGGGAGUACGGCCGCAAGGCUAAAACUCAAAGGAAUUGACGGGGACCCGCACAAGCGGUGGAUGAUGUGGUUUAAUUCGAUGCAACGCGAAAAACCUUACCCACCUUUGACAUGGUCGGAACCCUUUAGAGAUAGAGGGGUGCUCGAAAGAGAGCCGAUACACAGGUGC